UUUACAUUUCUUUCCGUUAGGAAUCAUGUGCAUAGCUGACGUGUUCGUGUGGCUCCCAAACCCCAGGCAACGUGAGAAGCCUCGCGCCCUACCCUGGGCCUAUGGACCCUCCGCCCCGGUCCUGCUGGGGCAGCACUCGGGGCAGAUUCCGGUGUUUCUUUCCAGAGUUUCUUGAUGUAAAUACCAGCAACUAUGGCAUCUCUUAGAGACCAUCCCCAGGACUCCACAAAGAGAUUCCUGUCUGUCUGUCUGCCGGCUCAUCUCUCCACCACACUCGGCUACGGAACAUUCUGCAGGAUGGACGGAUGGCCUCCACAAAUAGCAGGGUGACACGGACACUUGCAGCUGCCAUUUGUCACACAGUAGUGGACAACUCAUCUCCCCGCCUGCGAGUCUUGAAUUCCUCCCAAGAUCCCAGGCUUUGAUCGGAGCCCUGCGCCCACGCAGGGGUGUGCCCUUCCCCAGGGGCGGGCAGGCUGAGGCCCGCUGACUCCACCCGGAGCUCCCGCUAUGCCUUCCCGCUACGCCUACGUGAAUCACCACGAGCUGAUUCACGGCUUCGCCUUGCGGAGUUCAGCGGGAAAGUCAACACCUGUACACGCCCACCCCCCUCCAUCUUCCAUGACUGGUGACACGCCCCCCCGGGGUCCUGAGCCGGCAGCGAGGCCCCGCCCCUCGCCCUGUGGCCCAGACGUCAGUGGAUUCAGCUUCUCGGAGAAAGACGGGAGACACCUGAAGAGACACAGGAGAGAUGCAUCUGUCCUUUUGUCCCCUCGUCCUGGCUGUCAGGGGCAGCGC